GACGAACGCUGGCGGCGUGCUUAACACAUGCAAGUCGAACGGAAAGGCCCUGCUUUUGUGGGGUGCCCGAGUGGCGAACGGGUGAGUAACACGUGAGUAACCUGCCCUUGACUUUGGGAUAACUUCAGGAAACUGGGGCUAAUACCUGAUAGGAGCUCCUGCUGCAUGGUGGGGGUUGGAAAGUUUCGGCGGUUGGGGAUGGACUCGCGGCUUAUCAGCUUGUUGGUGGGGUAGUGGCUUACCAAGGGUUUGACGGGACGCCGGCCUGAAGGGGUAACCGGCCACAUUGGGACUGGAACACGGCCCAGACUCCUACGGUGGGCAGCAGUGAGGAAUAUUGCACAAGGGGCGGAAGCCUGAUGAAGCAACGCCGCGAGCGGGAUAAAGGUAAUCGGGUUGUAAGCCGCUUGCGCCUGUGACGAAGGGUGAGUGACGGUAAUGGGUAAGUAAGCACCGGCUAACUACGUG
rnacentral:rRNA from 1 species